rnacentral:rRNA from 1 species
ACAUGCAGUCGAGCGAACAGAAGGGAGCUUGCUCCCGGAUGUUAGCGGCGGACGGGUGAGUAACACGUGGGUAACCUGCCUGUAAGACUGGGAUAACUCCGGGAAACCGGAGCUAAUACCGGAUAGUUCCUUGAACCGCAUGGUUCAAGGAUGAAAGACGGUUUCGGCUGUCACUUACAGAUGGACCCGCGGCGCAUUAGCUAGUUGGUGGGGUAAUGGCUCACCAAGGCGACGAUGCGUAGCCGACCUGAGAGGGUGAUCGGCCACACUGGGACUGAGACACGGCCCAGACUCCUACGGGAGGCAGCAGUAGGGAAUCUUCCGCAAUGGACGAAAGUCUGACGGAGCAACGCCGCGUGAGUGAUGAAGGUUUUCGGAUCGUAAAGCUCUGUUGUUAGGGAAGAACAAGUGCGAGAGUAACUGCUCGCACCUUGACGGUACCUAACCAGAAAGCCACGGCUAACUACGUGCCAGCAGCCGCGGUAAUACGUAGGUGGCAAGCGUUGUCCGGAAUUAUUGGGCGUAAAGGGCUCGCAGGCGGUUUCUUAAGUCUGAUGUGAAAGCCCCCGGCUCAACCGGGGAGGGUCAUUGGAAACUGGGAAACUUGAGUGCAGAAGAGGAGAGUGGAAUUCCACGUGUAGCGGUGAAAUGCGUAGAGAUGUGGAGGAACACCAGUGGCGAAGGCGACUCUCUGGUCUGUAACUGACGCUGAGGAGCGAAAGCGUGGGGAGCGAACAGGAUUAGAUACCCUGGUAGUCCACGCCGUAAACGAUGAGUGCUAAGUGUUA